CAUUGACCAAUACGGACGUGUUUUUAAAGCGCUCUGAAAAAAGUUUUGACUUUUAAAUUUUUUUUACUACGACAGAAUCUUAGUUGACUGAUGGUCUUUGACAAAGACAGACUUGUUUUUGUGAGCUCUGAAAAAAAAUUGACUUUGAAAUAUUUUUUACUAUGAAAAAGAUUUGAGUAUUACUGACUUGUACUUUGAGAGUUAAAUUGACUUCGCGUUAUAGAAUAUGACUUGGUACUCGGGUUAUUGAAUGACUGGUGGACUUUAGUGUUAGGUUAUUGUUAUGAGAUGACGACUUGACUUUGACUUGAGUUGUGUGCAAUUAAAUUUGUGUUGUGGUGUGAAUCGAUUGACUGUCAGUUGAAGUUCAGAUGUCGUGCUGUGUGGAUGGGUUUCUACAAAACGUGAGUACAAACUUUUGUGUUUGACUGUUGACGUGUCUCACUGUGUAUGAUGAUUUAUGAUGAUUUUAAGCGGCUGGCGUAUUAUUGCUGAGUUGUUGUACUGAUAGAGAAGUGAAAUGAGUUGGGCAUAAAUUACUCAGUACUGAUAUAGUGUCGAUAUGUUGUGAUGAGAGAUGAUGGUGUUACAAAAUAUUUACUGAGCUACUUUGGGAAACGAACAGAUGAUGUAAAAACAUUGGAAACAUAUUUCAUGAAAAUGCAUGUGCUUAUAUGUACUAAAUAUGAUAUUGCUUUACUUGUAUUUGCAUGCUGUUAACAUUUCUAUUUUAUUCCAGUGGGCUGUGGUGAGUAUUGCAGAUUUAACUUGUAUGUGUGGUUUUUAGUUAACGAUGCUUAAUGAAAACUGUUAUUGUACACUUAGUAUGGAAUGAUGUGAAUGAUGAUAUGAUGGGUAGAAUUAAUCAGUGCUUGUGUCUAGAAAUGCUGAAUGUUUAUUGAAAAGGCUAAAUGCUAGCCAGUACUAAGAGUUGAGCUACCGUGGAAAUGUGAAACGAACUGAUGGUGUAAUAUGAUGGUGUAUUGACAUACUUUUCUUAUAUGUACUAAAUAUGAUAUUGCUUUACUUGUAUUUGCAUGCUGUUAACAUUUCUAUUUUGUUCCAGUGUGCUGUGGUGAGUACUGUAGAUAUUACUUGAUUUUUAGUGUCUAUGAAUGCUGAUGUAUGAUAGCUAUAGCAUGAGCUCAAUGCUAACCAGUAUUAUGAGUUGAUGUAUUGUGGUGAUGCUAAUCGAACUGAUGAUGUAACAUGAUGGUGAACACUUACUGAAUGCAUAAAAUUUAUUGAAUUGCGUUUGUUGAUAUGCACUAUAAUAUGAUAAAUGUAUUGCUUAACAUGUAUAUUUCAUGAUGUUUAAUUUCAGUGGGCUGUGGUGAGUACUGUAGAUUGUAUUGCCUAUGUAUAGAAUUCAAUAAAAGAUUAUGACUGAAAACUGCUUUUGAUUCUUUUUGAACAGUUUUAGGGACUAUAAGUCUAUAACAAAAAUAUGUCGGUUGGCGUUCAUACAGCAAUGUUUUGAGUAGUACAGAAAUGUUUCUACGUUUGUGGUCGCCAGUUGUCUGUGAUGUGUAAAGUGAAAAAUACACGGAGCUUUGAAUACAACAAACAUUUACUGUUUUAACACAGAUUGUGUGCUAUGCAUUUUUCGAUGUAGAUCUUUUUCAGAUUUGACAUGAAAUGUAGACCUGACAUUUGAACAGAGCUGGGAAACGAAAAGGUAAGUUUGUUAAAUUUCACAAUGAACACUUGUGUUUUGACAAAAGAAGAGAUAAAGUGAGUUUUGUCAUCAUCAUGGUUUCUUUCAGAGUAUAACUCGUGAACAGAUGAAAACCUAUUUUUUGCUAGAUUUUCAUGUACUCUUUUUUUGGAUGAUAAGUAUGUCAGUAACUCAAAAUCAUACGGCUAGUACAGUAUGGAACAUGAAUGCUUUGUUCAGAUUUUCAGAUGUGUGCUGGCAGUUUAAGUCUGGCAGCUGAAGUGAACAGUCGUGUUUUCUGGAGCUCCAACAAUAUGCUAGAAGGUAAGUAACUAUGUUUGUUUUGCAUUGCAUGUUUUUAUAUGUUUCAGACUUUCAAGCAGAGAUGUCAUGCUGACUGGAGUUGAGCACAGGGCAGUGACAAAGUGAAAGGUAAGUACUUUUGACUGAAUGUUUGUUCUAUGCAUGUUUUGUUUCAAUACAUUUCAGGAGUGCUUAUCCAGUGAUGAUAUGACAGUUGGAGUGAACAGUGGAGCCAAGCAGUCUUGUUUUUGGAGCUACUCAACAAGCCUUGAAGGUAAGUUUAGAAUUUCUCAAUGUUAGUGAAUUGAAGUACUGUCACUUGCUUUUGGACAGUCGAACAGAACAGACGUGGUUGCGAGAGCUCUCAUAUCUGUUGUGUUAAACUGUUUUUAUGAUAUGUUAUGUUUGUUUGUUUGUUUGUGAUGUACUAUUUUUCAGAUGCUGAUGGCAGUGAUGGGUUUUCAAGCUGACCUGAACAGAAAAGCACUCAUAUGGUAAGUACAAAAUAGUUGUUAUAUGGGAUGUUGUGCAUGCUUUUAUGUUUCAGGUGUACUUGCUGACAGCGACGAAGACGAUGUAAGAAGAGGAACAUUGUUGAGAAAGUGAUUGGGACUGGCAAACAGGGUAAGUGUAACAAUUGUGUUUGUUUAAUUUGUAACAUGCGUGCUUUGCUCUGUUUCGGAUUUCACAUGCAGAAAUUAAACAGGAUUUCAACUGCUGAAACACAAUUCAUCAAAAGUAAGGUAAGUUUUAAUUCAUUGAUUUGAGUUGUACAAUGUGUUCUUUACUUUAUUUCAGAUUCGAGUCACUGGUUUACACAUGGAAGAAGAUUUCCACGUCUGUUACUCAACUCUACAGAAGCAAGGUAAGUCGAUCAAAUUUUUGUUUUAGUUUGUACUGCUGUAAUGUGAUGGUAAACUUAUGCUAUUUUUCAUGUGUGCUAUGCAGAGAUGGAGAAUUCAAUUUUAAGAAAGAUUAACUGCUGCAGCUUAGCUCUGCUCUGUGUUGAUUUUUGUUCAAAAACGUUUAAAAUGUAUGUGUGUUUGAAGAUGUUUUGUUUCAGUUGAUGUCCAGAUGGCAAGCAGUACAGACGUGUUUCUUGGAGCUGCCAAACAGUGAGUACAAACGUUUUAUAUUUUUCAGUUGUUUACUCAUAGAAGUCUGUGAAAGAUGAUAACAAGGGUUGAAUCUAUCAGCACUUGUGUCUAAAAAUGCUGAUGUGUGAUGGUUUACUGAAAGGGGUAAAUGCUAGCCAGUACUUACACUUGAGCAACCGUGGGAUGUCGAACUAACUGAUGAUGUACUAUGAUGGUGAACACUUACUUUGUGUAUCGAAAUGCUUUUGUUGAUAUUUACUAAAUAUUGAUUGACAUUUGUUUGCAUGCUGUUAACAUUUCUAUUUCAUUUCAGUUGGCUGUGGUGAGUAUUGUAGUAUACAUUUGUUUCAAUAAAUCAUGAUGAAUGAACACUGAUUUCGAUUCUUUUUUACAGUUUUAGGGAUUAUCACUCUAUAACAACUCUGUCGGUUGGUGUUCGUGAAUGUGAGCUUAAUGUUUGAGUAGUACAAAAAUGUCUUUACUUUUGUGAUCGCCAGUUGUCUGUGAUGUAAAGUGGAAAAAACACAGCUAUGAAGCAUACAAUUGUUUCAAUAUUUUAUCAAUGAUAGUGUGCUAUGCAUGUUUUGAUUUAGUUCGUUUCAGAUACGACAUGACAUGAAGAGUUGACAGUCGAACAGAGCUGAGCAAAGCAGAAAGGUAAGUGUGUUUCAUUUUAGUAUGAACACUUGUAUUUUGUUUUUAUAUGGUAUGUUUUGUGCAUGCUAUGUUUCAGGUGUACUUGUAGUCAGCGACGAAGUCGAUUCAAGAAGAGGAACAUUGCUGAGAAAGUGAAUGGGACUUGCAAACAGGGUAAGUGUUACAAUUGUUUGUUUGAUUUUUACCAUGCAUACUUUGCUUUGCUCUGUUUCAGAUUUCACAUGCAGAAAUGGUCUCAUAGCAGUGCCAACAGUGAAUAAGGAUUUCAUCUGCUGUGAAACAACUCAACAGAAAGUAGGUAAGCAUUGAAUGAAUGCACUUGAGUUGUACAAUUUGAUGUGAUGCUUUUUUCUGUUUCAGAUUCAAGUUUCUGGUGUAGACAGAAAAAUGUGUUUGAAGAAGGAAUUCUACUACUGUGAUUCAACUCUACAGAAGCAAGGUAAGUAGAAACAAAAUUUUGGUUUAAUUUAACUCAUGUGUUUUGCACUGCAUGCUUUUUUUCAGGUCUCUCAUGCAGUGAGGGAAAAGAAGAAGAUUUCAAGAAAAAAUCACUGCUGCAACUCAGGCCUAUAACAAGGUAAGCGUUUACUAUAUUGUAUACAAAAUGUUUCUCUGUUUUACUCUGUUUCAGGUUUCAAUUGCAGAGAUGUUGCAGAGAUGUUUUGACAGCUUGUGACAGAAAAGGAAUUCACCAGCUGUGUCUCGACUCUAGCCACGAGGUAAGUCGAAACAAAUAUACUGGUUUGUAUGUUAUGUUGUUAUGCCCUUCUAUGUUUCAGACUUACAUUGCUGUGACUGUUCCACAGUGGGUCAAAAAAGAGACGAAUACAGGUUUCAAGAAGAAAAUUGGCUGUUAAAAACCUGCACAAAAUAUGAGGUAAGUAAACUACUCUUUUGGUUUGUUUUGUGCUUUGUUAUGCUUAACUAUUUUUCAGAUUGGAAUGGUGGGUCGUUACAGAGCAGACUUUUGGACUACUGAGAAGUUGAGAAACAGAGAAUGAUUCAAGAUCAGCUAGGUAAGUCUUGAUUAUUAUGCAUUGCUAAAUGUUUUUUUCAUUCCAGUAUGGCUGUGGUAAGUACACAAACUUUCUAUAAUUUAAUAUUGAACUGUUUUUAUGACCUGUAUUCUGCAUUGUAAAAUGUCUGUUUUUCAUUUCAGUAUCCUGUGGUAAGUACACUAACUUUGUAUAAUUUCAUAUUGAAAUGUUUUGAUGACUUGUAUCCUGCUAUGCAAUGCUUAAUAUAUUUUUCAUUUCAGUGUGGCUGUGGUAAGUACAAUUGCCUUCUUUAAUUUUCAUAUUGAACUGUUUUGAUGACUUUUAUUCUGCCAUACAAAAUGUGUUUUUUUUCAUUUCAGUUGCCUGUUGGUAAGUACAAUUUGCUUUCUUUAAUUGCAUAUUGAAAUAUGUUUUAUGACUUUUAUUCUGCUAUGCUUUUUUCAUUUCAGUUUGGCAGAUGUAAGUACACUUCAUUUAUGUAAAAACUGAAUAUGAUUGUUGUGCUAUACAAAAUGUGCUUUUUUCAAUUUCAGGUCAGCAAUGGUAAGUAUAGUGUGUUUUUUUAUGUAUAAUUUUGUAUACAUAUUGUUUUUUUCAUCAUAGCAUGUCUUUUAUAUUUAUGCUUUGUGUAAGUAAAAUGUUCAUAAAUCAUUCUUAUCUUCAAACUAAAAAUGUAUUGUGCUAUGCAAAAUGUCUGUAUGAUUUCAGUUGCCAGAGGUGAGUACCAUUACAGUUGAAAAGUUAGUUUUGUUUAGUUAAAGUUUUGGUUCACAGUUCUGUUUGUUAUUUGGCAAAAUUUACAUGUAUGCAUUGAGUCUUGAUUUCAGCUCGAUUGUGGACUGAAGAAGAUUGCCAGCAGAGGGAUUGGAUACAAAAUACAAACCCUACUACAAGACGAGUGUUUUCUACUACUAGACGUGUCAGGUUUACUUCCAGGCGAGCAGUGACAACAAGGCGCCUUUGUGGAAACAACACAACAAAAAACUGUACUGCUAGACGAGCAGUGACAGAAAGGCGCCUGAACAUGCAACACAAAACAAAAAAUGCCAAUUUGCAAACCUUGAUGUGGACACCGAGUAGUCAAUACAUACGUGUGGGGUACAGCUGCGACAAAACCGUGGGUCCAUCGCACCGAUAACUUGAACAUUGGCCCGUGUAUGGACAUCAGUGCAACUUUGUGAAUCCAUGUAUCUUUGUGAAUCCAUGUAACAUUGCGAAUGUGUGUCGAUCGAAAAAUGUGUACAUUCUGAACUGAAACGAACUCGGUGUUGCAAGUGGCAAGUGUUGACAGUGUGUAUGUUUAUGUUUAUGUUUUUACAUGAAAACUAAAGGAGAUUGUUCUCCUACCUUUUUUUUCCUUGUUUUAUUGCGCUGGCCAGCAAUAUUGAUGUAUUGAUGUAUGUGUUUGUGUUUAAACUAUGCAAUACCAAAAUCAAACAAAAAAUAAACAUUAACAGUCAUUAACUGUGUUUGGGCGGCCGAGGGGUUUAAGACUCCACAAGUGUGAAGCGCACUGAUAGCACUUGGGGGUGAACACCUCGGUAUUUCGGUGCUAAAAUGUUUUCACGGUGCUUAUCUUGACGCACUGUUAAGACUACCAACCAGUUAAUGAUUGCUUCAUCUUUAAACAAAAAGUAAGUCUCUACUUUGGCACAAGAGACUCCAAGUACCAAAUACCAACAAUUAAAAAGCAGACGUUUUUCAAAACUAUGAUCGCUGAGAUUGAUAGUCAGAUGGAGUCCUGCCCAGUUAGCUGUGUAGCGGUCUAGGGCGGGGUUGCAAGUCAAUACGAAAUGAGGCGCUAUAAAGCAACUCGUCCCCGUUAUGACCGUCAAUACUUUCGACACUAUCUGGGAAUCCUUUCAACACCACAUUGUUGCGCUGUUGGAAGGGUGGUAGGCACGCAUGGUGACAUGCCUGUGCUUUGCUAUGCGACACCAUGGUAUUUUCGUACGGUGACACGAAAUAUCUUAAUCUGGCUCUCUCAGAAACGCAGGCACGCGUUGACCGAACCUGACCGAUGACCGAGCAAUAACAUUUCUAUUAAGUGCUUCAAUGCACAAAGUCUGCUAGGCUGGGUGGGAA